AGCUUUUUGAAUCCGUGCUGAGAUUUCAUCAAAUGCCAACUCAAUAGGGCUGACCAGACUUCCAAGAUAAGUGAAGUU
rfam:Schistosoma haematobium scaffold403_5, whole genome shotgun sequence.